rnacentral:rRNA from 1 species
UGGGGAAUAUUGCACAAUGGGCGCAAGCCUGAUGCAGCCAUGCCGCGUGUAUGAAGAAGGCCUUCGGGUUGUAAAGUACUUUCAGCGAGGAGGAAGGCGGUAAGGUUAAUAACCUUAUCGAUUGACGUUACUCGCAGAAGAAGCACCGGCUAACUCCGUGCCAGCAGCCGCGGUAAUACGGAGGGUGCAAGCGUUAAUCGGAAUUACUGGGCGUAAAGCGCACGCAGGCGGUCGGUCAAGUCGGAUGUGAAAUCCCCGGGCUCAACCUGGGAACUGCAUUCGAAACUGGCAGGCUAGAGUCUUGUAGAGGGGGGUAGAAUUCCAGGUGUAGCGGUGAAAUGCGUAGAGAUCUGGAGGAAUACCGGUGGCGAAGGCGGCCCCCUGGACAAAGACUGACGCUCAGGUGCGAAAGCGUGGGGAGCAAACA